AGGAAUUACCCAGAGGCAGCAUCAUGUGGCUCGAUGACCAGAGCAGGCGCUUCUUUCCCACUUCCCUAGAAGCCCCAGGGCCAGAGGCAUUGGCUGAGCCCCUGCUCCUUUCCCCUCAGCCUCUGCUGGGUGUGGAUAGGAACCUGGGGGACCUGCUCUUGCUGUGUGUGGAGGACGGGAUCCCAGAGAAGCUCCCUGCUAGAGUCACUGCACCCGUCACCCUUGCGCCCGACUUCUCUUCUGAAGAAUGAAGGCUAUUGAAGUCAAGAGAGGAAGUGACUUGCUGAAGUCUGAAGAGGUGGCCAGUAGCAUGGCCAAGACCAAAUAUGGUUCUUUUCACUCCCAGGUCAUGCAAACUUCACUUCUUUUUAUUCAGUGGUUCCCAUCCCUACCCCCACCACAAG